UACGAAGGGGGCUAGCGUUGUUCGGAAUUACUGGGCGUAAAGCGCGCGCAGGCGGUUUCUCAAGUCAGUGGUGAAAGCCCGGAGCUCAACUCCGGAACUGCCAUUGAAACUGUGAAACUUGAGGACGAGAGAGGUGAGUGGAAUUCCCAGUGUAGAGGUGAAAUUCGUAGAUAUUCGGAGGAACACCAGUGGCGAAGGCGGCUCACUGGUCCGGUACUGACGCUGAGGUGCGAAAGCGUGGGGAGCAAACAGG
rnacentral:rRNA from 1 species